rnacentral:tRNA from 1 species
GUAUCUAUAGCUUAGUCGGCAAAAGCAUCGGAUUUUUAAUCCGGGAUCCAAGGUUCGAGUCCUUGUGGGUACA